GAAUCGGGUACAUCUGGGUUGGUGGAAACUAGGUCCGCGUGUCAAAGAAGAUCUCCGUUAUUGAGUCCCUUCUAAGCAGGCUCAGGAUAUGGGCAGCGCAUAUGACAGACGAUCAGGGAAUUUUCUUCUUAAUAGAGUACCAGACUUCUCACACGGCUAUAUGACCAAAGAUCAGGUCUCCGACCAAACUUCCCUUAGCUACUUUGAAACAACACAUUUCACACUUAAUUAAAAGGGCUUAACGAUGCCAUAGUCUGUACACGCCUGACUUAUCCCUUAUUCAGG
rnacentral:lncRNA from 1 species